rnacentral:rRNA from 1 species
CCUGACCUCGGAUCAGACGUGAAUACCCGCUGAACUUAAGCAUAUCACUAAGCGGAGGAAAAGAAACUAACAAGGAUUCCCUUAGUAACGGCGAGUGAACAGGGAAGAGCCCAGCACCGAAGCCUGUGACCGUUUGGUUUCUAGGCAAUGUGGUGUUUAGGUCGUUCCUUGUAGACACUGUCCCACCCUAAGUCCAGUAUUGAGUACGGCGUUUACCUGUCCCAGAGAGGGUGAAAGGCCCGUAAGGGUGGGAUGCAGACUGGCCAGUGUUUACUCGGAUAGACCUUGGAGUCGGGUUGUUUGUGAAUGCAGCCCAAAGCGGGUGGUAAACUCCAUCCAAGGCUAAAUACUUGCACGAGUCCGAUAGCGAACAAGUACCGUGAGGGAAAGUUGAAAAGUACUUUGAAGAGAGAGUAAACAGUGCGUGAAACCGCUCAAAGGUAAACGGGUAGAGUUGAACUGCAAGCUCUGGGGAAUCAGCUAGUGAGAUUGGCAUGAUCUUGUUCAUGUGGGUUGUGCGCUGGUGUCUACAUGCAUAUGUGGAUCUGACCCUUUCGGGGGGAAGGUGCGAUGGGGCGCUCAACAAGCUCCGCGCGCUCCAGUGUGACUUAUUUCAAACCCGCUCGCUAGUGCACGUUCUCAGAGUGUUCACCACGACCGGCGCUGCCGUCAGUCUGCUUUAGUCAAACCCGGCUUGCUUAGUCCUUGUGGCUUUGUAGGUCGGGGAUGGCAGGUAGCUUGUUUGUGCGUAUCAGCAAUGGUGCGUGCUUUCAGGCCUAAUGAGCUGGGUAUUGCAGAACUGUGCGGUGUGUCGGAGACAGCGGCUUGGUAUGGCUGUACGUUGCCAAGGUCGGCUUGGCUGCUUUGAGUCUGGUUGUCGUGUUGCUUGUUUUAAUGGCAGGCCCGAUGAUGGCUUGGAGUGGUCUUGUCGGCGGCGCGGGUGCUGUGCUCUAAAGGGCCUAUAGUCUGUGGUGUAGUGGUAGACGAUCUACCCGACCCGUCUUG